AAUGUGGCUUCAGGCCUGGCCGUUUCCUCUUUGUUUAGUUAGCGAUUACCAAACACUUUUGUGUGGGUGCGGAUCGGGCUACCGGACUGCCUUGAAUCUCUGCUGCUUGCGCCCCGAAAAGGAAGAGGAUCAGUACCACGUGACCACCGGCGGCAAGCUCCGUUAGGAAAAGAUGUGAAGGUUACCCUGUAAGUCACCGUGUAGCUGAAGAUGACCUUGAACUUCUAAUCCUGGCUCUGCUCCCCAUUUCUGGGAUUAUAGGCUUGGGCCACUACAUUCCAUUUGGUGCUGGGAUUAUAGGCGUGCACCUCCUGGCUUUUCUCUUCAUUCUUCAAGGAAUGCCCAUACUGGCUUCCAGAGAAGCUUGGUCACGUUACAUCCAUCUCUAUAGUGGUCUUGCUCUGUAUCCCUGGAUGGUUGGAACCCAUUCUAUAGCCCAGGUUCUGGAUAUCAAUCUCUUGCUCAGUAGAUAGGGGGGUAACAUUUUCCUCCCAUUUUGAAGCUUGUCUCUUCACUCUGGUAACGGUUUCCAUGGCUAUGCAUAAACAUUUUAACUUCAUGUGGAUCAUGUUCAGGGCAGGACGAAUGUUCAGGAUGGACAAGACCAGUCGCUACUCCUUAUGGAGCCUGUCACUCACACCAUAGAGGAAGAAACCAGGAGGGCUAUUUUGGGCAGUUCUAAGAUGCUCCAAGGACUGAGUAAGUCUCUCUUCUAGACAAGACAUGGGGGAAAAAAUAGCUUCUUGGGGGGAUGCAAGAGUGAAAGUCUCCAGAUUUGGAGAUCACUGGAGAACAUUCAAACCAUCUCAGCAGCUGGCUCCUGUGGUCAGUGCUUGCCUAGUGCUUAAGGAAGAGCUUGGGUUUCAUCCCCGGCACUAGAGAAGACAGUGUCAGAGACGAUGAUGGCUCUGUGUAACCUACACUGUGUAAACAGAGAAGGCAUUUCUACAAGCUAAACAAACCAUGAAACCACGAAUCCUCACACCCUCGUUACUAUCUCAUGGUGAUCCAAGAUCCAGAGCCUGUCAGAAGCAGAUGGAGACACAACCCAGAACACCCACAAGCCAUUCCCAUCCAAUUUACCCCAGAAAUGCAACUCUCUCUGACUGUGGGACAAGGUUAAAGGGUUUUGUUUUGUUUUUCUUUUUUUCUUUCAGUAGUUAACCACCAGAUUUGAACCAAAAAACAUUUAGUGUUUA
rnacentral:lncRNA from 1 species